rnacentral:misc_RNA from 1 species
CAGAAACACGGUGCCGGAUAACGUCCGGCGGGGGCGACCCUAGGGAAAGUGCCGCAGAGAGUAGACCGCCACUUUUAUAGUGGUAAGGGUGAAAGGGUGGGGUAAGAGCCCACCGCGCCGCUGGUAACAGGGGUGGCAUGGUAAACCCCACCGGGAGCAAGACCGAAUAGGGAUAACGCGGGAUGCGCGCAAGCGUAUCUACAGCCGGUUUUUGGGCGAGUUAUCCGGGUGGGUUGCGAGAGGCGGCGUGCAAAUGCCGUCCCAGAUGAAUGGCUGCCACGUUCCGGGUCAAACCGGGG